rnacentral:tRNA from 1 species
GUAUGUAGUUCAGUGGUAGAGCACUUGCCUAGAUGUGUGAGGCCUUGGGUUCAAUUCCCAGUUAAACA